rnacentral:sRNA from 1 species
AAUCAUAAGUUUUAAAAUUCUAAUGAAUUCUAAUGUUAUUGAACUAACGAUUUAAAAAUCCUACUAUAUUAUUUGGGAAGUACAUUUUAAAUGUAACCUUAAUUUUUGUAAGUAAUUACAUAGGUAUGCCAUUAGAAAUAAAAUUUUAAAGAGUAAAUUAAUUUAUCUUUUU